rnacentral:rRNA from 1 species
UACGGGGGGAGCAAGCGUUGUUCGGAUUUACUGGGCGUAAAGAGCUCGUAGGCGGUUCAGUAAGUCGGGUGUGAAAACUUUGGGCUUAACCCAAAGCGUGCAUCCGAUACUGCUGUGACUUGAGUUCGGUAGGGGAGUGGGGAAUUCCUAGUGUAGCGGUGAAAUGCGCAGAUAUUAGGAGGAACACCGGUGGCGAAGGCGCCACUCUGGGCCGAAACUGACGCUGAGGAGCGAAAGCAUGGGUAGCAAACAGG